UCAGAGCUCUCUGAUCUACGUGGUCUCAUUCGGUGGAUUCAGACAGCGCAUUUUCUACAUUGACCGACGAUAAAUAAAGUUAUAAGGUGCUUCUUGGGCAUCAACCCAGAGACGGGCACAAAAUCUAAGAGGCAGAGAGGUCACAUGAACCAGCAAGUCUGCACUCUUAGCAGGAAGCUCAUUGACUUCGAAUGGAUGUCAAUCUAAUUGGAUAGAACCCACACUAUGCAGGUGCCAGCUGCGAGGGAAGGAGAGAGACACCUGCGACCCUCUCUAUUCCCACCUUUUUGUCUUUUCUUACAUCUCUCUCUCUCACUCUUUCUUCUCUGUCUCCUUCUUUCUCUUUUGACACACAUUCCUGUUACCCAGUGUCAAUCCCUGUUGCCCAGUGUUUUAUUCAUGUAAUUAAAUUGUAUUUUACUUCUAAAAAAUAAAAGUUAUGUCACUGUUUUUAUCAGUUUUGUUUGGUCCAUCAUUUAUGCUAAAUCACAGUAAUAGAUAGACAUUCACAGUUAUGUACAGUAAUUCUACAGCUGCUUACUGCUAAAUUACAGUAAUAGACUAAUUUCACAGUUAAAUACAUUAAUUCUACAUCUGCUUGCUGCUAAAUUGCAAUGAUAGACACUAAUUUCACAGUUAAAUACAUUAAUUCUACAGCUGCUUACUGUUAAAUUACAGUAAUACAUAGACACCAACUGUAAUUUCACAGUUAAAUACAUUAAUUCUACAGCAGCUUACCGCUAAAUCACAGUAAUGCGAUGUCAGAAUUACUGUGAAGUCACAGUAUACAGCUGUCAUUUCACAAUAAUUUACUGUAAAAAUGUUACAGUAACUUACUGUGAAAGUCAUGCAAUUAUUAACCUGCAAUUUAUUGUAAAUUUACAGUCAAAUAAUUAACAGU